CUCUUUUAUAAACAACCUGCAGGAGAACAGAGCCAUGUUGCAAAACACAUGGCUGAAUUAAAAGCGAGUAGGAGGAUGUUUUGAGCUUCAUGAAAUAAGGUGUCAAAGCUCAAGAAAGAAUUUGUGCACAUUUAAGUUUAGAUAAAAAUGCUUCCAUAGUUCCUGAUUGAUCCUGUCCUUUUUUGAGUACAAAAUGGCAUACGUGUUGUGGCAGCAAUGGCGUGGUCAAGUGCUGGAUUUGCAAGAGAAGAGGAGUCGCACAGAACAAACCGGUCUCACCUUUGGUGUUUGCCAUGCGAGAGGAAGCCACGGUCAUCUUCAGCAGUCACUAUGAAAUGGCGUUCAGGACCAUGGUUAAACACUUCAAACAAUACUGUGGAGUGAUGACCUGGAAGAAGAUGAGAGACACACACUAAAAGGCUUCCUGGGAACUGACUCAACGAAGCCGACCAGUUCCUCUCCUGACCAAUUGGAAGUUGUAGAAUUCAGUAAUACCUUUUGAAACCCUUCCCCAUUGGACCCUAGCAAGGUCACAUGACUGAAAGUGGCUUCAUCAUUGGUGGACAGGCCUGUUAUAGCCACCACUAUAAAUGCUGGUACACCUAUUGAGGAGGAAGGAGGUGACAAAAUUCAAAAGCAAUGAAACGUCCAUGGGAUGUGACGCUGAGUUGCCAGUGGCCAGGGUCUAUAGGCGGCAGAAGCCUGACUCGGUACAGACCGUCAGACUGAUCCAGCUCACCCAGAGGACCUGCUUCACUAAGAAGAGACUGACGAGCACCUAACAGAGAGGUUGAUGAGGACACAGUGUGUGAGUUUUCCAGCAACAUGGAGCCUGACGGAUCUUACUGCUUGGUCGAUAGUGAAGGAGUGUGAU